GUAGGUGGCAAGCGUUGUCCGGAAUUAUUGGGCGUAAAGCGCGCGCAGGCGGUUCUUUAAGUCUGAUGUGAAAGCCCACGGCUCAACCGUGGAGGGUCAUUGGAAACUGGAGAACUUGAGUACAGAAGAGGAAAGCGGAAUUCCACGUGUAGCGGUGAAAUGCGUGGAGAUGUGGAGGAACACCAGUGGCGAAGGCGGCUUUCUGGUCUGUAACUGACGCUGAGGCGCGAAAGCGUGGGGAGCAAACAGGGAUUAGAUACCCUGGUAGUCCACGCCGUAAACGAUGAGUGCUAAGUGUUAGGGGGUUUCCGCCCCCUUAGUGCUGCAGCUAACGCAUUAAGCACUCCGCCUGGGGAUACGGCCGCAAGGCUG
rnacentral:rRNA from 1 species